UGUUUGAUGUUCUAACGUGGACCCGUGAUCCGGGUUGCGGACAGUGUCUGGUGGGUAGUUUGACUGGGGCGGUCUCCUCCUAAAGAGUAACGGAGGAGCACGAAGGUUGGCUAAUCCUGGUCGGACAUCAGGAGGUUAGUGCAAUGGCAUAAGCCAGCUUGACUGCGAGCGUGACGGCGCGAGCAGGUGCGAAAGCAGGUCAUAGUGAUCCGGUGGUUCUGAAUGGAAGGGCCAUCGCUCAACGGAUAAAAGGUACUCCGGGGAUAACAGGCUGAUACCGCCCAAGAGUUCAUAUCGACGGCGGUGUUUGGCACCUCGAUGUCGGCUCAUCACAUCCUGGGGCUGAAGUAGGUCCCAAGGGUAUGGCUGUUCGCCAUUUAAAGUGGUACGCGAGCUGGGUUUAGAACGUCGUGAGACAGUUCGGUCCCUAUCUGCCGUGGGCGCUGGAGAACUGAGGGGGGCUGCUCCUAGUACGAGAGGACCGGAGUGGACGCAUCACUGGUGUUCGGGUUGUCAUGCCAAUGGCACUGCCCGGUAGCUAAAUGCGGAAGAGAUAAGUGCUGAAAGCAUCUAAGCACGAAACUUGCCCCGA
rnacentral:rRNA from 43 species